CACAAAGCAAUGAAAAGGUAAAAAUGAAUGGACCCACUGCAUUACCAGAGAGUCGGCACUGCUGGAAACCGACAAUGCAGCCAUUUGUGACAUCGCCUUGGAGCAGGUACCCGGAAAACAUUCGUGAUUAUGGGUACACGGGGAUUUUUAGUUCUCGUUAUCAAUGAGUGGCAUUAGUCGCUCCUGAGUCAGUGAAUUUCACUGAAAAGUAGGGUGGUACCAUGAAGUUUUUUCAUCCCUGCA
rnacentral:ncRNA from 1 species